CAUCAGACGUAAUCUGCCGCAAAAGUGUUGCGGUCACCCGCAAGAUUGGAUACCUUGGCGAAACGCCAAGCUAAUACAUGAACAACGGGUCUCCUCCACCCAAUGCCCGGGGCAACUCGGGCAGCGAGGGACCUUGCGAAUGAAUGAAACUAGGACCAAUCGCCCUUCACGGGGCAGCAAGGCAAGCAGUGUUGAAUCAAUUCAUUCUGUGCGAAAGCCGGUUCACCGGCGUCUUUCGAUGAACAACUGCCCUAUCAGCCAGUGAUGGCCGUGUAGUGGACUGCCAUGGCGUUGACGGGAGCGGGGGAUUAGGGUUCGAUUCCGGAGAGGGAGCCUGAGAAAUGGCUACCACUUCUACGGAGGGCAGCAGGCGCGCAAAUUGCCCAAUACCAAAGCAACUGGUGAGGCGGCGAAAAGAAAUAGGUCUCCCAAACGUCUUACGGCGUUUGGGAGUUUGCAAUGGGGGAUAUCUAAACCCAUCCAAUAUCGAGUAACGAUUGGAGGACAAGUCUGGUGCCAGCACCCGCGGUAAUUCCAGCUCCAAAAGCGUAUAUUAACGCUGUUGCUGUUAAAGGGUUCGUAGUUGAACUGGG
rnacentral:rRNA from 1 species